rnacentral:lncRNA from 1 species
UUCUUUUUUACUUCACUUAUUUAUCUAAUUGUCAUGCAAACUUUCUAAUUUACCCUUAACCCAAUCCCUUGGUGAAAAGAGCCUAUUAUUAAUUACCGGCUUGCUAUCCCUAGCCUCCCCUGAUAACCAAUAAUGCAAUGCGAUCGGAAGCAAAUACAAUUGACCGUCCUACCCCUAUCCCUAGGCGAUAUUGGCAUAAUCAAGGAAUUUCCCACCAGUUCAUGACAUUACCAUACGUCCCCAUAUCGAUAAAGACAAACAUCUUUUACU